AGCACUUGUGUUUGUUUUUGCUUAAUUUGUGGGCAAAGACUAUAUAUAGGUGUGGAAAAUAAAUCCUCCUUUGCAGCCCAGAACUCAUUGUUUGGUAUACAUAGAAGAAGGAACAUG